UACGUAGGGCGCAAGCGUUGUCCGGAAUUAUUGGGCGUAAAGGGCGCGCAGGCGGCCCUCCAAGUCAGGCGUGAAAGCCCCGGGCUCAACCCGGGAAUAGCGCUUGAGACUGGGGGGCUUGAGUUCGGGAGAGGAGAGUGGAAUUCCCAGUGUAGAGGUGAAAUUCGUAGAUAUUGGGAAGAACACCGGUGGCGAAGGCGGCUCUCUGGACCGACACUGACGCUGAGGCGCGAAAGCCAGGGGAGCAAACAGG
rnacentral:rRNA from 1 species